AAACAUUUUUGGGCUGUGAAAACGAGCUUUUCCCUCUAACAGAAUCAUGUUUUGCUGUUUUCCCUCUCAGUUUGCUGACAAGAUGAUAAAAGGUAGCGUGGUGUGUGUGCCUUGAUAAAACAGGAGCUUUACUUCCAAAGGUCUUACGCAGGCUGACGGCAGUCCUGGAGAAGAGAUCCAGCCUUGCUCCAGCGGGAUACACACGCAGAUUUUAAUCAGGAGCGACAGCUAUGGAGCAGAGCUGUGUGUGCAGCACCUCUGAGACCUGUGCUCCUGCUGGUGCUCACACUUGCAUGGAGGAGGAGGCACUGAAGACAAGAUCACCCAGUGUCUUUGCCAUAGCCCAGCCUGCAAAUGUGAGUGUUGUUUCAGCGUGUCCCUCAUCCUCACAUCCUAAUUCCAGGGCAGCUAUACUUUGCUCUUCUGUUUUGUGCAGCAGCAUCUCUGUGUCUGCACAACUGAAAUUCUAUCCCAGCUCUCAUCCCCUCAUGUCUGGAGUUACUUAGGAGGACACUCACACUAUUUCUAUUUGUUCAAAAUGCUGCUAGUGAUACUCAUUUCUUGCCUUGUAAUUUAAGCACUUUAUCACUCUUCUUGCAUCCCUUUGCUGACUUGCUUUCAUCCCCUCUAUCCAUUGUCAUUCUGCAUUUUUAAGACCCUUCCAAGCCUGCCCAGCGAGGCUGUGAAGCUGUUAACUCUUGUUUCUGCUCUGAGGAUGGUGCCAGUCAUUCUCAUCCUCCUGCUUCACCUUUUCUUAUGUUCUUUACCAGGGAUGAGCAAAGUUCCUUGUAACCCCAGCAGGGCAGCUCCAUGGGGUGCCUCCUAGGCUGGCUUUGAAAUUCCCUUAGCAGUGAUGCCUGUGUGCCUGUAGGCACGCAGUGUGUCACCUUGGCCUGGCUUGUGUCUGUGCUGAUGUCCUCUCAGAUGUGGGAUUUGAGAGGGGACAUCACCCUAAAACCAAGCCCUGGUAGCAGUGUACUGCUACAAUAUGACCAACACAGUUUGCUUGGGAAGAUUCUGGGUUCUCUAUAUCGCAUCAGCUCCUCCUAUACAAAUUGUUUAGGAUAAAAGUAUCUACGUUUAAUAAAUGUAAUUCUAUAAAUCAAAUUGUUUUCACAGAUCACACUUUCCUUUUAUUGCUCUUUGUUAUUUGGGGGCAUAUGGUAGCUUUCUGUAAAAUGUUGCCUUAAUUGCCUUCUGGAUAUACCCUGUAAAUCCUGACAAAUGCUUUUAAAAGCGAAAACCAAGACAUAUUUUUCUUCUAUCAGAGCUUGCUCAACAAACUGCUUGUACCUUUUCCGUGGGGCCUUGCAAAAUGCUGUUAUGUCAAGAAGAAUAAUGCUCUUUAAUUUAUGAACCAUUAAUAUUUAUUGCACAUGCAAUGGCUGGCAUUUUGUGUGAGAGAGCUGGACAGCAGCUAUUAAAAUUGGAAAGAGGUUAUAUAUUAACCAGGGCUACUCAGAUAAUUCAUAUGGGGUAAUUUUUGAUUAAUUUAUUUCUUUUGUUGAUAAAUUUCCUGGUAGUGACCAACAAGGUGGGUUUUUUAAACUUAUUUGCUAGCUCAUAAUGAAUUGCUCAGUAAUUACUACAAACAAUUCAACUCCUUUGUUAUUAGGGUUUUAUAAGCGUGUUGAAGAAGACUUGCUUAUCUUGUUACACAAUUAAGGAGUUGGAUCUCAGUCUCACUUCUGAGUUGGGAUCUGCUUGUUUCCCACAAAGAUUAGGACUGGGGGCUCCUUACUCUGUGUUUUGUACAGGGGCAUCCAGAGACCCCAGUGUGUGAUGCUGCUGCCCCAAACCACACCCCCAAUUCCACAGUGUGAGGAAUUUGCAAAACCUUGUAGCAGUGUUCAGCUUUGCAGUGAAUCUCCCUGCAAACUGUGUUGGAAUACUGGCCCAAGAGAGGGCUCUGGUGCCACGGUAUCAUCUUUUGAAAAGAACAUGAUUAAUUUGGGGGUAUAAGUUGGAUAGAUCUGCAGGUUAUUUGUAGAACAAGUUGCCUGAAAAUUACUUGUAACAAGGUUUUAAAAUUCAGGUUAUAUUGGUUUCUCCUGAUACAAG